rnacentral:rRNA from 1 species
GACGAACGCUGGCGGCGUGCUUAACACAUGCAAGUCGAGCGGUAAGGCCCUUUCGGGGGUACACGAGCGGCGAACGGGUGAGUAACACGUGGGUGACCUGCCCUCAGCUCUGGGAUAAGCCUGGGAAACUGGGUCUAAUACUGGAUAUGACUCCACGGUGCAUGUCGUGGGGUGGAAAGCCUUGUGCGGCUGAGGAUGGGCCCGCGGCCUAUCAGCUUGUUGGUGGGGNGAUGGCCUACCAAGGCGACGACGGGUAGCCGGCCUGAGAGGGCGACCGGCCACACUGGGACUGAGACACGGCCCAGACUCCUACGGGAGGCAGCAGUGGGGAAUCUUGCUCAAUGGGCGAAAGCCUGACGCAGCGACGCCGCGUGAGGGAUGACGGCCUGGUGUAACU